rnacentral:rRNA from 1 species
GACGAACGCUGGCGGCGUGCUUAACACAUGCAAGUCGAACGGAAAGGCCCUGCUUUUGUGGGGUGCUCGAGUGGCGAACGGGUGAGUAACACGUGAGUAACCUGCCCUUGACUUUGGGAUAACUUCAGGAAACUGGGGCUAAUACCGGAUAGGAGCUCCUGCUGCAUGGUGGGGGUUGGAAAGUUUCGGCGGUUGGGGAUGGACUCGCGGCUUAUCAGCUUGUUGGUGGGGUAGUGGCUUACCAAGGCUUUGACGGGUAGCCGGCCUGAGAGGGUGACCGGCGACAUUGGGACUGAGAUACGGCCCAGACUCCUACGGGAGGCAGCAGUGGGGAAUAUUGCACGAUGGGCGGAAGCCUGAUGCAGCAACGCCGCGUGCGGGAUGACGGCCUUCGGGUUGUAAACCGCUUUCGCCUGUGACGAAGCGUGAGUGACGGUAAUGGGUAAAGAAGCACCGGCUAACUACGUG